rnacentral:rRNA from 1 species
CGAGAAAGCCCGCAAGGGUGAGUAAAGCGGCGCACGGGUGCGUAACACGUGGGUAAUCUGCCCUAGAGUCUGGAAUAACUCGCCGAAAGGCGUGCUAAUGCCGGAUGAGACCACGGGAGCCUCGGCUCCUGCGGGAAAAGGUGGCCUCUGUAUACAAGCUAUCGCUCUGGGAUGAGCCCGCGGCCCAUCAGCUAGUUGGCGGGGUAAUGGCCCACCAAGGCUACGACGGGUAGCUGGUCUGAGAGGACGAUCAGCCUCACUGGAACUGAGACACGGUCCAGACUCCUACGGGAGGCAGCAGUGGGGAAUCUUGCGCAAUGGGCGAAAGCCUGACGCAGCAACGCCGCGUGUGUGAUGAAGGUCUUCGGAUCGUAAAGCACUGUCGCGAGGGACG